GGCGAGGUAGCUCAGAUGGUUAGAGCGCAGGAUUCAUAACCCUGAGGUCACGGGUUCAACUCCCGUCUUCGCUACAA
rnacentral:tRNA from 1 species